GUGGGGAAUAUUGCACAAUGGGGGAAACCCUGAUGCAGCGACGCCGCGUGAGUGAAGAAGUAUUUCGGUACGUAAAGCUCUAUCAGCAAGGAAGAAAAUGACGGUACUUGACUAAGAAGCCCCGGCUAACUACGUGCCAGCAGCCGCGGUAAUACGUAGGGGGCAAGCGUUAUCCGGAUUUACUGGGUGUAAAGGGAGCGUAGACGGUAUGGUAAGUCAGAUGUGAAAGCCCGGGGCUCAACCCCGGGACUGCAUUUGAAACUAUCAGACUAGAGUGCAGGAGAGGUAAGUGGAAUUCCUAGUGUAGCGGUGAAAUGCGUAGAUAUUAGGAGGAACACCAGUGGCGAAGGCGGCUUACUGGACUGUAACUGACGUUGAGGCUCGAAAGCGUGGGGGGCAAACAGGAUUAGAAACCCUUGUAGUCC
rnacentral:rRNA from 1 species